rnacentral:lncRNA from 1 species
CUCCCCUCCCCUCCGGAGCUGUUUACGCAGCUUCUGGGAGAGAUAGAGAAGUAAUCGGUUUCAUUAUCUUCUGCAUAUCAACUUUUUUAUUUUCUGAAAUGCUUACGAAUUUUUUCCUUUAAUAUUUAUCACCUUAUACUUUGGUAGCAGUAUUUUGGAAAACUGUUAACGCCUGUCAUCGUUUGGAAAUUUCAAAUAACUCUGACGUUGCCUUCUUGUAUUGGUAACAGCAGUGCGGCCCCAAGCUGCCUGGCUUUGGGAGACCGAGGAGCCACGCUUGGAAAUGCUUUGAAAGUGAGAAACUUCCAGAAACCUAGAAAAAGGAUUUCUGGCCUCAGUAUCUGAACGGGUCCUGGAGUUCUUUGCAGAUGAGCUGAAGAUGAGGAUCUGGAGCAGGAGUUCGGAGUGCCAUUGUUCCACGGGCAGAAGUUCGGCAGAGACUGUUAAGCUUGCCUGGCCCAAGCCACAGAGUCCUGGGAAGGAUGGAAGAGAGAGGAAGGGAGAGCACCGACGUCAUGGACCACCUUUCACAUCAGUGGCAGCAGCAGUAAAAUCCCCAGAAAGCCUGGAGUGGGCGUGAGGGUCUCUUUAGAUCAGCCCUGGAGGCAGCCGCCCAUGUCCCUCCUGGACAUUUGUUCACCUUCACAGAACCCACUUCUUUCCCGUGGUCUGUUCGGAUGUCUGUUUCCUGCACCAGGCAGGUAGCACAGCACACUCAGGGGUUUCUCUGACUCACCUUGGUAGCCCCAGCCCUCAGCACACUGCCUACCACUUAGUAUUUAGAGGACGUAUGC